AGAGCGAACGCUGGCGGCAGGCUUAACACAUGCAAGUCGAGCGGGCGUAGCAAUACGUCAGCGGCAGACGGGUGAGUAACGCGUGGGAACAUACCUUUUGGUUCGGAACAACACAGGGAAACCUGUGCUAAUACCGGAUAAGCCCUUACGGGGAAAGAUUUAUCGCCGAAAGAUUGGCCCGCGUCUGAUUAGCUAGUUGGUGAGGUAACGGCUCACCAAGGCGACGAUCAGUAGCUGGUCUGAGAGGAUGAUCAGCCACAUUGGGACUGAGACACGGCCCAAACUCCUACGGGAGGCAGCAGUGGGGAAUAUUGGACAAUGGGCGCAAGCCUGAUCCAGCCAUGCCGCGUGAGUGAUGAAGGCCCUAGGGUUGUAAAGCUCUUUUGUGCGGGAAGAUAAUGACGGUACCGCAAGAAUAAGCCCCGGCUAACUUCGUGCCAGCAGCCGC
rnacentral:rRNA from 1 species